rnacentral:rRNA from 1 species
UGCGUCCUACGGGAGGCAGCAGUGGGGAAUAUUGCACAAUGGGGGAAACCCUGAUGCAGCGACGCCGCGUGAGUGAAGAAGUAUCUCGGUAUGUAAAGCUCUAUCAGCAGGGAAGAAGAUGACGGUACCUGACUAAGAAGCCCCGGCUAACUACGUGCCAGCAGCCGCGGUAAUACGUAGGGGGCAAGCGUUAUCCGGAUUUACUGGGUGUAAAGGGAGCGUAGACGGCAGGGCAAGUCUGGAGUGAAAGCCCGGGGCCCAACCCCGGGACUGCUUUGGAAACUGCCAUACUGGAGUGCCGGAGG